GUGGGGAAUCUUGCGCAAUGGGCGAAAGCCUGACGCAGCCAUGCCGCGUGGAUGAUGAAGGUCUUAGGAUUGUAAAAUCCUUUCACCGGUGAAGAUAAUGACUGUAGCCGGAGAAGAAGCCCCGGCUAACUUCGUGCCAGCUGCCGAGGUAAUACGAAGGGGGCUAGCGUUGCUCGGAUUUACUGGGCGUAAAGGGCGCGUAGGCGGACAUUUAAGUCAGGGGUGAAAUCCCGGGGCUCAACCUCGGAACUGCCUUGGAUACUGGGUGUCUUGAGUAUGAGAGAGGUGUGUGGAACUCCGAGUGUAGAGGUGAAAUUCGUAGAUAUUCGGAAGAACACCAGUGGCGAAGGCGACACACUGGCUCAUUACUGACGCUGAGGCGCGAAAGCGUGGGGAGCAAACAGGAUUAGAUACCCGGGUAGUCC
rnacentral:rRNA from 1 species